AUACGUAGGGUGCGAGCGUUGUCCGGAGUUACUGAGCGUAAAGAGCUCGUAGGUGGUUUGUCGCGUCGUCUGUGAAAUUCCGGGGCUUAACUCCGGGCGUGCAGGCGAUACGGGCAUAACUUGAGUACUGUAGGGGAGACUGGAAUUCCUGGUGUAGCGGUGAAAUGCGCAGAUAUCAGGAGGAACACCGGUGGCGAAGGCGGGUCUCUGGGCAGUAACUGACGCUGAGGAGCGAAAGCAUGGGUAGCGAACAGGAUUAGAUACCCUGGUAGUCCAUGCCGUAAACGGUGGGCGCUAGGUGUAGGGGUCUUCCACGACUUCUGUGCCGUAGCUAACGCAUUAAGCGCCCCGCCUGGGGAGUACGGCCGCAAGGCUAAAACUCAAAUGAAUUGACGGGG
rnacentral:rRNA from 1 species